UGAAAGAGUCUCUAAUAUAGUUUGUGAAAACCUGUUUCCCAUAAUUAAUAACAGGAAGCCGGGUAAACAGACAUUUGCUGACAAACGAAACUAAAUAGUACCACAUACACACAGAAAUGAAACAAAGCGGCCUUGUCCAGGGGUGCCCGAGAGGGACUCCCUCCCAAGCUCUCAGGCAGUUCUCACAUGGAGCCCAGAGCAAACGGUCACGACUUGCACAUUUCAAGGUGAUUUCUGACCAUUUAAACACAUGCUUGCAGAAGGCCGUCAUUUCUCCCACUGGCUAUCCUUGCUGCCCACGUCUGGAAAUGAGAAUACCUGAUGGGGUAAUUUUGGUGUGUGCGUGUGGUUGUUAGGUCUUUCUUUCUUUCUUUCUUUCUUUCUUUCUUUCUUUCUUUCUUUCUUUCUUCUUUUUGGAAGGGGGAAUAUAUUCAUGAGAUCUUAGGCAAACUAAAUGCAAGUCAUUAAUUAGACAGACGCAAAGAAUCACUGGGCAACUUGACCCACUUGCAGCUUGAAACUGCAGACAAAGCUUCCCUGGGAAGUAAUGUGUCUUUAUCUUCCAAUUGUAUCAUAGAGUGGGGACGGUCUGAUCUCAGUUCUGGCCUUGAAAGCAGCAGCUAAUAUGAUAUGUGGUUAACCUGCUUUGAAACAUUGAGCUCAGUUUGAAUUUGGAGUUUUUUUUUAUAGAGUUAGACGCUGAAUUUGCAGUUCAUUUUUAGGUAUGAAUGUCUUGAUCCUUUAAGGGAAACAUUUCUAUUGUAAAGGUGGUUAUCCAAGAACUGUUCAAUGUAAAAUUAAGAUUAAUCAAAUGUGUGUUUCUGCUUUUGUAGGGUGAGCAGAACAAGGCAUGACGGCGGAAGUCAGGAAAUGUGUUUGCUUUAUGAUGUCCUUUUUGCAAAAGAAAGGAUGCAUUUUGACCAUUCAGUGCACUGCAGAAAAACCCAAAGUGUCUGUCAUGGCCGGAGUUCUGUGCCUUCCUGCGAAGCUCGUAGGAAGUCACAUCGCAACACUGGACAAAUGCGAGUGGCAAGUGUCCUGGGGGCCAGGGUCAGAGGGUUUUGCCCACGUGUGAUGUACAUCCACAUAACUGACCUGGUUGCUGAAAGCCAAUUUAUCUGUUUACACUGCAGGCAGAGGGUUUAUAUUCAGAGCUGAUUAGGUUCAAUUAAAAAUAAAUUGCUUCAUGUUUUACACACACAUGGAUGAAGGAAAGUGAGUAUGCCACGAGUGAGUAUGAGCUCCAGGACCUUGUGUGUGUUGUGGAAUUUGGAAUCCACCGAACGAAUGUCUUGAAUUUAAAGAAACAACUGAAUUAGAAAAAUCAUCAGUGAAGCUUCUUGAUUGUAAGGAAAGUAAAACAUUAGUUAAGCUGUGAAAUUUUAGAGAGUACGUAGGUGGGUAAGAAAAGCACGUAAAAAUUCAAAGUGACUAAAUUUUUGUGGAAUAGAGGAUACAUAUAUUGAUUAUUAGGAUCAGGCCAGUUAUUCAGAGGAUUUUUUUUUUAGUAACACAAAAAUGUGUUACUAAAUCAUACAUUAUAAGAAAUGUUGCUACAGUUCUCUUUUGUUAGGUCUUUCUGGGAAAAAACAAAAGUAAACCUCAGCAGGUUUAAUACUAGAAUUGUGCCAUUUGCAAAUUGAUAUUUGGAAAAUAUAUUUUUCUAAAAAUUUUAGGUAAGGAUCGUCUUGGAAGGCUUUUGAGAAUAAACAACACACUUUUGAGUAUUAACCAUACGUUUGUAUGGGAACAAUGAAGAUAACCAAAUUGGAAAGUUCUCAUGUCUACGGGCAGACACUGUUUGUACACCCAUAUCAUGCUAUUGGUUCAUCAUAUAGACCGUGCAGAUGAUCUGAGUCACGUGGCCAGUGAAACGGUCUGUGUGUGCUUAGGUCUUGGGGGGGCUUGGGUUAAACAGAGGUACCCAGGCCUGGUAACAAUAAUAUUUCCUUCUGCUCCAUCAGACCAGCAGGCAUCUGUCUUUAGAUGAAACUGAUGGGGAAAGCCUGAUCUUAACAGAACGGUGAGCUCUGCACCUAAGUGCCAUGGAGUCAAGAAAUCAUCUUGCUGGUGCAGAAAAAACUAAAAUUUAUGUCUUACAAGCGAGAUCUGGAAGCAAAAAUAUAUGCGUUAUACACAUGCGUCUCAGCACAAUACUGGGCUCGGACCAAUAUUUUGAUCAAAGAGCUACAGUGUAUAAAGCACAGCUCCAGGUCAGACCCGUGGACAGUUUCUAGUAGUUACAUCUUUUGGUUCAAGGGGUUUGUGUUUGGUAUAUGAAAGUCACCCAUCACAUGUUGAUGGUUUCACUGUCCUACUGUUUUCUAGUUUCUACUUGCUUUUCAGGAGCCUGCCUCAGGGAAGCGUGAACACCUUUUCCCCGACUUCUGCCUCCCCCUCUUUUAUUUUUAUUUAUGUGUGUAUUUAUUUAUGUAUUUAGUCCUUUGCAAGUUUUCUUUUAGAGGUAUUUUAAAGAGAUAAAAUCUGUGAAUAGGAAUGGAAGCUGGUACAAGGAUUUCUCAGCUGCCUGGUGACUCCUGCCUUCGAGCACCUUUGGUCGAUUUGGUGCCCAGUGAAUUUCCAAUACCAGCUGGGAAAUGUCUCUUGUGACUGUCAGGUGUGAGCAGGGCACUGCCCGCUGACCCUGCUGGCUGCAGAGCUGGGCAUCAGUGGGGCAUGGGUACAAUUCUCUGCACAGAAUUCAGUAGUUCCAGCACCCUCUCCCUGCUCCAUCUUGAGCUCCAGCGUUAUCAUCAAACAAAACUCAAAGACUAUUCUACACGCCUCAAAACAAGGAAGUUCUUUCAAACUUCCACCAGGUUUCUGGGGCUCUGUUUGUCCUGCGUUUCGUGUGCACAUGUCAGUGUAUUUCCUGUCAUUGUCAUCUUUCUAAACACUGCGACCUACACUAUACAUCGAACCCAUUGGUGGAAAACAUGUUAUUUUGUUAAUAAUGUGCCAGCAGCAGAAAUUACUACGAUUAAAAAAGAGGUUUUACAUAUCUACUCUUGAAUAAAGGAUGGUUGUGAUAGGACUUACAUUGAAGCAACAAUUAAGACUUUAUUCAUGGUAUAAAUAUAGGUCAGUACUGGACUCAAACAUGGUCUAUAUAUUAGGAAUGCCAAUUUUUCUGUAAUAAACAACAGAACAGGCCUAAGAUAGAAAAAUCAGCCUUUUUAAUUGUUAAAAAUCAGCCAAUAAGAGCUAAAUGGUGAACUAUUACUGCCAUGCAAUUAGUAGCCUUCUUUUUUUUUCCUUUCCUAUCAGUUACACGUGUUCCUCCUUCAAAAGAAUCAAAUUUCCUUUGCUAGAGGGGAAAUUACGUUUAUAGAUUUUAAUUUUAGAAAGUAAAAGCAUAACAUUUGUUUUGGUGGUUUAACAGGUAGAGUGUAUUUCAUCCAUGACCUAUUCAGAAGCUGAUUUAGUUCUGCUUUGCAAAAUCUGUGGAUAUUUAAAAAUAAAAGUAACUUUUAAGGAUAAGUUGCAUUUUUUUAUUUAAACAAAACAUGGUGAUGAUGUUGCUUCGAGAGAAUUCCCAGUGUGUUAAGAAACUGUGGAUUCACUUAUAGAUUGCUUAGAAGAGCUAAGUGCGCAUCGUGCAUUUUGUUGAAUUUUGCUUGUUCCCAGAUAAAAGGUUUAUCAAAACUUUAAAAACAUGGUACGUAAAUUAUCCGUGAACAAAAACUUGAACAACGUGCAUGCAGCUUUUAGGCACCAAUGUUGUUUUAUUCCACAUCUUUACUCUGCAUGGGAUACAAUGUCUCUGUUUUCUGCUCCCUUUGUUGAAGUGUGGUAACGAGGUAUGUCAAAUGGCACAUAGAGUACAGGACACAAAUCAGCUCGCCUGUGUUCUGUUGUUAUGCUGUUAUUUGCUAAAUAAGUAUCUUUUGCUCAUAUAAACAAGGUGUGUGCCCAUUUUAGGUGAGCACACACCCUUUUUAAUAGCAGUUUUGUAAGAUCCUGUGUCUUCACUGGCUUCAACAUAUUCCUGUCCACAGGAUGGGAAUAGAGUCAACUGCCACUUACAUAUCUGGGGAAAACGAUUUAUUGCAUAGGAAAACCACAGAUUUCUUUUCUUUUUGGUAUGUUCUGCAGUUUUUCCUGUAAAUUCUCUGACAAUAAACAGUGAUCAAGCCAA